AUUGAACGCUGGCGGCAUGCCUUACACAUGCAAGUCGAACGGCAGCACAGGGAGCUUGCUCCUGGGUGGCGAGUGGCGAACGGGUGAGUAAUGUAUCGGAACGUGCUCAGUAGUGGGGGAUAACUACUCGAAAGAGUGGCUAAUACCGCAUGAGAUCUCUGGAUGAAAGUGGGGGACCGCAAGUCCUCACGCUCCUGGAGCGGCCGAUAUCAGAUUAGUUUGUUGGUGGGGUAAAGGCCUACCAAGCCUGCGAUCUGUAGCUGGUCUGAGAGGACGACCAGCCACACUGGGAGUGAGACACGGCCCAGACUCCUACGGGAGGCAGCAGUGGGGAAUUUUGGACAAUGGGCGCAAGCCUGAUCCAGCAAUGCCGCGUGCAGGAUGAAGGCCUUCGGGUUGUAAACUGCUUUUGUACGGAACGAAAAGGCUCUGGUUAAUACCUGGGGUCCAUGACGGUACCGUAAGAAUAAGCACCGGCUAACUACGUGCCAGCCGCCGCCGUAA
rnacentral:rRNA from 1 species